rnacentral:rRNA from 4 species
AAAGAUUAAGCCAUGCAUGUCUAAGUAUAAGCAAUUAUACCGCGAAACUGCGAAUGGCUCAUUAUAUAAGUUAUCGUUUAUUUGAUAGUACCUUACUACUUGGAUAACCGUGGUAAUUCUAGAGCUAAUACAUGCUAAAAAUCCCGACUUCGGAAGGGAUGUAUUUAUUAGAUUAAAAACCAAUGCCCUUCGGGGCUCACUGGUGAUUCAUGAUAACUCCUCGAAUCGCAUGGCCUUGUGCCGGCGAUGGUUCAUUCAAAUUUCUUCCCUAUCAACUUUCGAUGUUUGGGUAUUGGCCAAACAUGGUUG